rnacentral:misc_RNA from 1 species
UGUAGGAGCUGGCUUGCCUGCGAUAGCGGUUGAUCAGUUGAGAAAAUUUGCCUGACCGACCGCUAUCGCAGGCAAGCCAGCUCCUACA